rnacentral:misc_RNA from 1 species
AUUCCGCGGCAAGGAAUAGGUCAGAAUAGCAUUUAAUAUCUCAAGAACAAUUCUUAAGAAGUCGGUAUAAAUAUGCAGCUCAGCUGCCGUGUCUUCUUGGAGACUAUUUUCUUCCUUUGAUUCACCAUUGAGCACAUGCAUCUUAUCAUUUUUCAUCUCUGCCAAUUUGUUGUACUUGCGUGCAAGCAUGUCAAAUAGGCUCACUAAACGUUGUGAUGCAUAACCACUUAGGCGAUGUACAUGAGGUGCCAUAUUAGCUAAAGUUGCAAGGCAAUUUGUAUGAAGGUAAACAUCCCGCAACUUAGAUAGGUUGUAUUUCACUGUCCUCGUCAAAACUAUGACCAUAAGAGAACCAAGAGAGGUCUGAUGAAGAACACGCUCUUGGUACCAUGGAACACUGGGCAGCACCAGUUUAUGAAUGCUGGCAUUGAAUGAGGAAUCUUGGCUAAGUAUAAGAAGGAUAAUCAGCACCAUAUAUAUCUGAUUGGAUGUCCUCCUAGGUGCAUUAUACAGUGUUUCGAGCAAAGGCAUCAACAGUGUAUCCAGAUCAGUCCGCACCAACACAUACUCAAGAAAAUCUGAAUUCCCAUGAACGAGUGAAUAAAGCAGAAGUCCAGAAGUCUCAUCAGCCAAGCACAUGCCAAGGCUAUCAAAAAGAGAAGCAAAGGGUAAUCUCACAACCGGACCACCAGGUGCAUUCCCCUCAACAUCGACACGAUCAAAUUCAAUAUCCCGAGCAUUCUCAAGGGCCUUGCAGUAAGGAUUCUCAAAGAAGGAUUCUUCCUUUGGUAGUGAAUCUGUACUGCUGUAGUCAAUUUUAUCUUUGAAAUGGUCGAUGCCAAGACUCUUGCGGUAAUGAACAAGGAUGAGUAAAAUAUUAAGACUGUUGUCUGCCAAUGGGCUUCUGGAAGCUUCAUUGCUUGAACUUGCAAAGAAAUUCAACGGCAGCAGCACGAGAUUUGCUGCAACAGAGCCAACUCUCUGUAAAACUCCAGGACGAUAUCCUUCAGAAAAUAUAUAGUAUGAUGAAGCCUUCAGAGGGAAACGCGGCCGCGUGAUGUAGUUAACAAGCAGCUUACGUAUAGCCAGAUUGACCAAAGAAGUUGGCUGAGACAUUGCUGCAUCAAAGAAAGGAUGAAUAUCAUCUGCUCCAAGUGACGGCCCAGAAAGAAGCUGAGUUGAUAACGCAACAAGCAUGAAAUUAAGCAACUCGUAAUGUAGAAGAUAUGUAUCAGAGCUUACAUCUACCCUGCCAAGAAAAUUAAGCACACUAUUCACAACAAGAUGCUCAAUACUCUGUUCUUUAGGGACAUCACUUGGAAUUUCCUCACUUUCAUUCAGGGACAUGUAUAGAU